rnacentral:rRNA from 1 species
GAGACAGCAGUAGCCGCGGUAAAACAGAGGGUGCGAGCGUUAAUCGGAUUUACUGGGCGUAAAGCGUGCGUAGGCGGCUUUUUAAGUCGGAUGUGAAAUCCCUGAGCUUAACUUAGGAAUUGCAUUCGAUACUGGGAAGCUAGAGUAUGGGAGAGGAUGGUAGAAUUCCAGGUGUAGCGGUGAAAUGCGUAGAGAUCUGGAGGAAUACCGAUGGCGAAGGCAGCCAUCUGGCCUAAUACUGACGCUGAGGUACGAAAGCAUGGGGAGCAAACAGGAUUAGAUACCCCUGUAGUCCCUGUCUCUUAUAC